AUUGAACGCUGGCGGCAGGCCUAACACAUGCAAGUCGAACGGUAACAGGAAGAAGCUUGCUUCUUUGCUGACGAGUGGCGGACGGGUGAGUAAUGUCUGGGAAACUGCCUGAUGGAGGGGGAUAACUACUGGAAACGGUAGCUAAUACCGCAUAACGUCGCAAGACCAAAGAGGGGGACCUUCGGGCCUCUUGCCAUCGGAUGUGCCCAGAUGGGAUUAGCUAGUAGGUGGGGUAACGGCUCACCUAGGCGACGAUCCCUAGCUGGUCUGAGAGGAUGACCAGCCACACUGGAACUGAGACACGGUCCAGACUCCUACGGGAGGCAGCAGAGGGGAAUAUUGCGCAAUGGGCGAAAGCCUGAUGCAGCCAUGCCGCGUGUAUGAAGAAGGCCUUCGGGUUGUAAAGUACUUUCAGCGGGGAGGAAGGGAGUAAAGUUAAUACCUUUGCUCAUUGACGUUACCCGCAGAAGAAGCACCGGCUAACUCCGUG
rnacentral:rRNA from 1 species